ACUCCUACGGGAGGCAGCAGUGGGGAAUAUUGCACAAUGGGCGCAAGCCUGAUGCAGCCAUGCCGCGUGUAUGAAGAAGGCCUUCGGGUUGUAAAGUACUUUCAGCAGUGAGGAAGGUUCAUACGUUAAUAGCGUAUGGAUUUGACGUUAGCUGCAGAAGAAGCACCGGCUAACUCCGUGCCAGCAGCCGCGGUAAUACGGAGGGUGCGAGCGUUAAUCGGAAUUACUGGGCGUAAAGCGCAUGCAGGUGGUUUGUUAAGUCAGAUGUGAAAGCCCGGGGCUCAACCUCGGAAUUAGCAUUUGAAACUGGCAGACUAGAGUACUGUAGAGGGGGGUAGAAUUUCAGGUGUAGCGGUGAAAUGCGUAGAGAUCUGAAGGAAUACCGGUGGCGAAGGCGGCCCCCUGGACAGAUACUGACACUCAGAUGCG
rnacentral:rRNA from 1 species